rnacentral:lncRNA from 1 species
UGGCGCGUUUGCAUCAAUCACCCCAUUGUUUCUCCGCCUUCUCCUGGACCACUCAGCCCGCGGGGCUCCAGGCUCGCCUGUGUGCGUGGGGGUGGGGGACGCCCCCUGGUGGCCUGCUCUGCACGCGCCCAUCCAGGUGCCAGAGCUGAGCCGGUGGCAGAGCGGCCUGACGGCAUCUUCCAGGCCCACGUCGCUCUCAAUGACUCAUGGAAGACUCUGCACAGACAUUAUCUCACUGGAUCCUCACAGCAGUCCUGGGAUGGCAGCGUCACCCUUCCCGUUUUACAGACGAGCCCGACUUUCACAGACGCUAAGGAGCCAGCCCGAGGUCAGCGGAGUGGUUGGCUGCAGGGUCAUUUCGAUUUCCACUGUCCUCCCACCCUCCGCUCUUCCCUCCUGGGUCUGACGUGGCCGUUGAGCGUGCAUCGUAUCUCUGCUUAAGCAUCUGCUGUGUCCCAAAGACAAGAACAAAGGGCCUUAAGAUAAAGGUGCAACUUCCCCCACAGUGGCACUUCCUUAAGGAUAAGCCUCUCUCCCUAGGCUAGGAACUGAUGGCUGCACU